rnacentral:rRNA from 1 species
UACGUAGGAGGCAAGCGUUGUCCGGAAUUACUGGGCGUAAAGCGCGUGUAGGCGGCGUGACAAGUCUGCUGUGAAAGCGCCUGGCUUAACCGGGCGAGGUCGGCGGAAACUGUCCGACUCGAGGACGGUAGAGGGGGGUGGAAUUCCCGGUGUAGUGGUGAAAUGCGUAGAGAUCGGGAGGAACACCUGUGGCGAAGGCGGCCCCCUGGGCCGGCCCUGACACUGAGACGCGAAGGCGUGGGGAGCGAACGGG